rnacentral:rRNA from 2 species
GGCAAGACGGAAAGACCCCGUGAACCUUUACUAUAGCUUGACACUGAACAUUGAGCCUUGAUGUGUAGGAUAGGUGGGAGGCUUUGAAGCGUGGACGCCAGUCUGCGUGGAGCCGACCUUGAAAUACCACCCUUUAAUGUUUGAUGUUCUAACGUGGACCCGUAAUCCGGGUUGCGGACAGUGUCUGGUGGGUAGUUUGACUGGGGCGGUCUCCUCCUAAAGAGUAACGGAGGAGCACGAAGGUUGGCUAAUCCUGGUCGGACAUCAGGAGGUUAGUGCAAUGGCAUAAGCCAGCUUGACUGCGAGCGUGACGGCGCGAGCAGGUGCGAAAGCAGGUCAUAGUGAUCCGGUGGUUCUGAAUGGAAGGGCCAUCGCUCAACGGAUAAAAGGUACUCCGGGGAUAACAGGCUGAUACCGCCCAAGAGUUCAUAUCGACGGCGGUGUUUGGCACCUCGAUGUCGGCUCAUCACAUCCUGGGGCUGAAGUAGGUCCCAAGGGUAUGGCUGUUCGCCAUUUAAAGUGGUACGCGAGCUGGGUUUAGAACGUCGUGAGACAGUUCGGUCCCUAUCUGCCGUGGGCGCUGGAGAACUGAGGGGGGCUGCUCCUAGUACGAGAGGACCGGAGUGGACGCAUCACUGGUGUUCGGGUUGUCAUGCCAAUGGCACUGCCCGGUAGCUAAAUGCGGAAGAGAUAAGUGCUGAAAGCAUCUAAGCACGAAACUUGCCCCGA